rnacentral:sRNA from 20 species
GUCAGUAACUCAGCCCUAAAGGGACUGAGCUUGUAAGAAAUUACAAGCUGUACUGACCAGUCUAAGUCUUAACUGACUACGUUUUUUGAGUCACGACACCCUGGAAUGCGAAGCCAGUUCCCUGCUCUGUC